rnacentral:rRNA from 1 species
UACAGAGGUCUCGAGCGUUAGGCGGAAUCACUGGGCUUAAAGCGUGUGUAGGCGGAUCGGUAAGUACCUUGUGAAAUCCCACAGCUUAACUGUGGAACCGCUUGGUAUACUGCCAGUCUUGAGCCACUUAGGGGCUACCGGAACAAAUGGUGGAGCGGUGAAAUGCGUAGAUAUCAUUUGGAACGCCAAUGGUGAAAACAGGUAGCUGGGAGUGUGCUGACGCUGAGACACGAAAGCCAGGGGAGCAAACGGG